UGGGUUGUGGCUCAGUGGUAGAGUGCUCGCCUGGCACGUGUGAGCCACUGGGUUCGAUCCUCAGCACCAUAU
rnacentral:tRNA from 1 species